UGUUACCAAUAUAGAAGAAGAGCCACUCCUUGAGGACAACAGAAGAGUCCAUUUAAAGGUCUUUGGGAAGCCCUGUUUUUCAGUUAAACCCAUCGCUGAUUCGUUUUGAUUGUACGGCAGAAAAUUCAGACUGUGAAGCCCACCUGGGCUGACACACCCAGCGCUUUUUUUUACACUUGUCAAAAAGGACAGCGUGUUGUGAUCAUCUGCAGAAACCUGAGAUCAUUGAGGCUCUUUAGAAACCACGCACACCUUUAUUAUUUGAAGGAUAAGCUGAUCCUAAUAUAUUUCUCAUUUCCUACCUAAGAGGUCUGACCGACUGAGUGUUGCAGCUAUUAAUGGUUUAAAACCACCGUCCCCUCUUUAAAAGUAGAAGGAAGAUACAAAUUUAUCUUGGAGCCUUUUUAAGUUUGCUGAAUCACAGUUGCGUCUCUCAGCUGACUUCGUUUUUAAUCUGGCACCGUACAAAGCUAGAGCUUUUCUUGACCUAGUAAGUAUAAAGACAGGCAGCGUUGUAACCCUUCAAAUGUUGUUUUAAACAUCCAAGUUGAAUAAGCCAGAAUUGGCACCCUGACUUAAUGGCAAUGUCACUCAUUAAGAAAUCCCCAUAUUUAUAACAGUUCGUGUUACUAUAAAGAGGCCUUAUUCGAAAUUUCAAACGGUUCUUUCAAUGACUGAAGAUGGUGUUUGCUAAGUUGAUCCAGUUUUGUUCAGCUGUUGACCGAAGAAUCUUUUUUGUGUUUUUCCUACUUCAGACAGGCAAAACUUUCUCCUUCAGACCAGAUGUUGGAUUCCGGUUUGCUCUUGAGGCUGUAGGUAUUGAGUUUGUUGGUUUUCUGGGUGGAAUAGCUGUUCCUUGCGGACAGUUUUGCAGUGAGAAUAUUCAGGAUAUGAGUUCCACUUGUUUAGGGGGAUUUUGUAUACGUGAGGCAUUUUACACCAACCUUUUGAAAUUGUUAGCGAGUGUAACUUGGCAUCCAUCUUCGUUCAGGUAUCUCCAUUCUGGAAGCAUCAUGAAGAUACUUUUGCAAACCUGGUGAAGUUUUUUUUAUUUUCCCUUGGAGUCUUUAGAACCUGAAGUGAUGCACCCAGCAGCUUUAGCCACUAGUUCAAUGCUUCUCAACCUCAGGAAGUUUUAAGAUGUGUGGACUUCAAUUCCCAGAAUACCCUCAGAAUUCCCAAAGCUGGCUUGGGGCAUUGUGGGAAUUGAAGUCCACACAUCUUAAAACUUCCUGAGGUUGAGAAACAUUUCUGUGAUACCUGCAAGUUGGUUUUUCUUGCAAAUUCUGCACAGGGGAUAGUGCAGAGAAAAGGAACUCUCAAGAUUUUGGUAAGCAGGAGAUUGUUAAGCAAAUGGAUUCUAAAGCUGCUUCUUUACAAAAAAAA